GAUGAGACACUUCAAAGUCCUGGGUGAAAUUAAGGUCCUUCCCCUGAACCAGGAUGGAGCAGAGGAAGGACUUGGCUUCCAGGAAACCCCGACGUCUCCACUGUGACUCUGGCCACGUUCAUGGCAGGGCCCAGGAUCCUUUGGUGCAAAGGACUCAGGUUUCCUGGAAAAUACAGUCUCCACCUCUGAGCCCUCAGUGAGAAGGGCUUCUCUCCCAAGAGUGCGGCCAGGACCCAGACUGGGGUGGAGCUGUCCCCCCAGACCCUGAGACCAGCAGGUGCAGGAGCAGCCCCGGGCUGAGGGGAGUGUGCAGGGUGCUCCCCCCCACAACCGCUGUGGCCCUGGGUUGAGCCUCUCUGACCACGGCUGCAAACAGCCUCCACCCCACCCCCAACCCCGGCUCGGGCUGAUUUGUAUCCCCAGCAGCAAGGGGAUAAGACAGACAUGGGAGGAGCCCUGCUUAGCCUGGGUUUGGCGAGCAGACUCGGGGCGCCUCCACCACGGCCUGGACCCCCUGCUCCUAGGCCUCCUAGCUCACUGCACAGGUGAGUCCCAGGGUCCACCCACCCCAGCCCAGAACUCGGGGACGGGCCUGGCCCUGACUCUGAGCUCAGUGGGAUCUGCCCAUGGGGGCAGGGGGCACCUGGAGCUGCUGCAGGGUGGGCUGAAAUCCCCCCUCUGUGCUCACUGCUGGGUCAGCCCUGAGGGCUGUGCCUGCCAGGGAAAGGGGGGAGUCUCCUUUACUCAGAGACUCCAUCCACCAGGCACAUGAGCUGGGGGUGCUGAGACUGAGGGGAGGGUGUCCCUGGGGGCCAGAGAAUCUUUGGCACUUAAUCUGCAUCAGGCAGGGGGCUUCUGUUCCUAGGUUCUCCAUGUCCAGCCGCCUCUCCUUUCCUCUCCUGCAGGCGCUGUGUCCUCCUACGAGCUGACUCAGUCACCCUCGGCAUCAAUGUCCCCAGGACAGACGGCCAGGAUCAUGUGUGGAGGGCACAGCGUUGGAGGUGAAAAUGUUCAGUGGCAUCAGCAGAAGCCGGGCCAGGCCCGUGCGCUGGUCAUCUAUGGUGACGAUAACCGACCCACGGGGGUCCCUGACCGGUUCUCUGGCGCCAACUCGGGGAACACGACCACCCUGACCAUGAGCGGGGCCCAGGCCGAGGACGAGGCUGACUGUUACAGUCAGCUGUGGGACAGCAGCAGUAACGAUCCUCACAGCGACACAGGCAGGCGGGAAGCGAGACGCAAACCUCCUGCCUGGCCCGCACAGCCCAGCCUCCUCGGAGCAGCGGCAGGUCCCACUGAGGCCUGGUGCCCUCUGUGCUCAGGGCCCUCUGUUCAUCCUGCUGAGCAGCGGCAAGUGGGCACUGGGUCCUGAGUCCUGGGGGCAUAUCAGCACCCUUGAGCCAGAGGGUCCCCCAUGCCAGCUGAGUCCUAGGACAGCCAUGUCCCCUGUCCAUGCUCAGCUUCUCUCAGGAGUGGUGGGAAGAUUCCAGAAACAGGCAGGAAACCAUCAGUCGCUGGUGGCCACUGAGUCAGGCGGCCAUUCUGGUCAGCCUACCGGAUCGUCCAGCACUGAGACCCAGGGCCUCCCUGGAGGGCAGGAUGCGGGACUGCAGCCCGGCCCUCACACCGUCACCCCAAACCCUCGAAGAACCGCGCUCCCCAGGACGCCUGCCCCUUCGCAACCUGACAUCCGAACAUUUUCAUCAGAACUUCUGCAAAAUAGUCACACCGCUCCUUUAUGUACAUUCCUCAGAAGCUAAAAAUUAUCAUAACUUGCUAACCACUCUCCUUAAAAAGUCUUCUAUAACGUUCAUCUUUCCUGCUCCUUAGACGUGUUUUCAUUCCACAUCUCUUACUACCUUUGGUCUGCUCGUGUGUUUUCUUUUUUUUUUAAUUUUUUUAUUGGAAUAUAUUUGCAUUACAAUGUUGAAUUGGUUUCUGU